UUAUCGGAAUGAGAACAAUUCAAAUCCUUUAACGAGGAUCUAGCGGAGGGCAAGUCUGGUGCCAGCAGCCGCGGUAAUUCCAGCUCCGCAGGUGUAUAUCUAUGCUGCUGCGGUUAAAAAGCUCGUAGUUGGAUCUGCGUGCUCGGAACUGGUUGGCUCACUGAGUUCAAACUGGUCUCCGGCGCUUUAUUGGCUGGUUUUCCCUUGAUGCUCUUAACCGGGUGUCUUGGGUGGCUAGCACGUCUACUUUGAAAAAAUUAGAGUGCUCAAUACAGGCGUAAAGCCUUGAAUAGUGGUGCAUGGAAUAAUAGAAUAGGACCUCGGCUCUAUUUUGUUGGUUUUCGGAACGCGAGGUAAUGAUUAAGAGGGACAGACGGGGGCAUUCGUAUUGCGACGUUAGAGGUGAAAUUCUUGGAUCGUCGCAAGACGGACGACUGCGAAAGCAUUUGCCAAGAAUGUUUUCAUUAAUCAAGAACGAAAGUUAGAGGUUCGAAGGCGAUCAGAUACCGCCCUAGUUCUAACCGUAAACGAUGCCAACUAGCGAUUCGCAGGCGUUAAACAACGACCUUGCGGGCAGCUUCCCGGAAACGAAAGUGUUCGGGUUCCGGGGGAAGUAUGGUUGCAAAGCUGAAACUUAAAGGAAUUGACGGAAGGGCACCACCAGGAGUGGAGCCUGCGGCUUAAUUUGACCCAACACGGGAAAACUCACCCGGCCCGGACACCGUAAGGAUUGGCAGAUUGAGAGCUCUUUCUUGAUUCGGUGGGUGGUGGUGCAUGGCCGUUCUUAGUUGGUGGAGCGAUUUGUCUGGUUUAUUCCGAUAACGAACGAGACUCUGGCCUACUAAAUAGUGGGCGGAUUCUUUCUGUCCGCAACACUUCUUAGAGGGACAAGCGGUGUUCAGCCGCACGAGAUUGAGCAAUAACAGGUCUGUGAUGCCCUUAGAUGUCCGGGGCUGCACGCGCGCUACACUGAAGGAAUCAGCGUGCUUUCUGACCUUGCCCGAAAGGGCUGGGUAACCCGAUGAAAAUCCUUCGUGAUUGGGAUAGGGACUUGCAAUUAUUUCCCUUGAACGAGGAAUUCCCAGUAGGUGUGGGUCAUAAGCUCGCGUUGAUUACGUCCCUGCCCUUUGUACACACCGCCCGUCGCUGCCCGGAACUGAGCCGUUUCGAGAAGAACAGGGACCGUCGUUGAAGGGCCUUAACGGGCUUUUCUCUGAUAGAAACUGUU
rnacentral:rRNA from 1 species